AGUAAAUAAAUAACUAAAUAAUGAAAUAAACAAGGACAGUUUUAAAUAUAAUUUCCUUGUAGAAAGCAGGGGAAGGCAGUCCUGGAGAGCUUGCUGACAGGGGAGGGGCACCCAAAACACUGUGGUCUAACCUCAGUACUAUGAAAACAACUUUACAACUUAAACCUCCAGAAAGUAUUUGUGCACAAGAAAAAUCAAGAUAUAUUUAGAAUUCUACACUAAACAUGACAUCAGCAUCCUUGAGGAUCUUGGAGUAUCAUCUAUGAUGAGGAGGACAUGUUUCAAUUAAAGGAAACACAUCUACAGCAUCUGGUGAAAAUGAGGAAUGUGCUAUUGGAUAGCUAAAUGAGGAUAGCUAAAGUCUAUCCAUCUAAUUGCCCUUCACCUGAAUUUGGAUGAAACAUUGCUAUCUUCCUUCACAAUAGAAUUUUGAAGAGUGAUCUCCAAUUCCCAGGCAUUGAAAGGCUUCUGGAUGAGCUUAGGUUUCUGGAUACCUCAUCUGAAUCCUGGAGCAGCUAAAGAAGAAAUUCUACUUUCUUAAAGCCACCACACCACAAAUAAAUAAAUAAAUAAAUAAAUAAAUAAAUCUAUGGAUUUGCAAGGAAAGGCUAAGGGGAGAAAUACAAAAAGAGGUAUCUACUUGGUGCCUGGAAUUUUCAGUUUCUAGGCAUUUAAACAUGUCAGAGAAGUCCACAAAACACUUUAAAAAAUAAGACAAGACCCUAUUGCUAAGCCACAAUCAAACCUUCCUUCAUUAAAUGUGAAGAUGAAAAAUGA